UACGUAGGCAGCGAGCGUUGUUCGGAGUUACUGGGCGUAAAGGGUGUGUAGGCGGUUGUUUAAGUUUGGUGUGAAAUCUCCCGGCUCAACUGGGAGGGUGCGCCGAAUACUGAAUGACUUGGAGUGCGGGAGAGGAGAGUGGAAUUCCUGGUGUAGCGGUGAAAUGCGUAGAUAUCGGGAGGAACACCUGUGGCGAAAGCGGCGCACUGGACCACAUCUGACGCUGAGGCGCGAAAGCUAGGGGAGCAAACAGG
rnacentral:rRNA from 1 species